rnacentral:lncRNA from 1 species
AUAUGUACCGAUUAUCAGGUUAUCUACAUGUUGAUAUCGUAAAAUAUCAGAUGCGAGACAUAAUAUGAAGCUUUUUGUCGAGUGAGCGUAGCGAACGAGAUCAAAAAGCCUUCAUAUAAUGUCAAGCAGCUGAUAUUUUACAAUAUCAAUAUGCAGAUAAUCUGAUAAUCGAUUUAUCGGGUUAUAUUUGCGUGUUUCGGAAGUGUUUUCUUUGUUUCACCAGCACACAAAAGAUGACUUGAUAAGUUCGGGUCAAAGUUAUUAACGUCGGUUCAAACAUUAUGACGUCGCUGAUAUGUCCGGGUCAAAGUUAUUAAGGUCGGGUCAACGUAUUUGACGUCACAAAGACAUGAUACGGAAUAAUAUUAAGAGCUGAACAGAGUGAUAUAGACAGUGGGACGACCGAUAAGUAAACAUAUUUUCUGUAUA